rnacentral:rRNA from 1 species
CAUCAACGGAGAGUUUGAUCCUGGCUCAGGACGAACGCUGGCGGCGUGCUUAACACAUGCAAGUCGAACGGUGAUGACGGGAGCUUGCUCUUGUCUGAUCAGUGGCGAACGGGUGAGUAACACGUGAGUAACCUGCCCCUGACUCUGGGAUAACCCCGGGAAACCGGAGCUAAUACCGGAUAUGACACCGACGGGCAUCCGUAUGGUGUGGAAAGUUUUUUCGGUCUGGGAUGGACUCGCGGCCUAUCAGCUUGUUGGUGAGGUAAUGGCUCACCAAGGCGACGACGGGUAGCCGGCCUGAGAGGGCGAC